rnacentral:rRNA from 1 species
AGAACGAACGCUGGCGGCAGGCUUAACACAUGCAAGUCGAACGCACCGCAAGGUGAGUGGCAGACGGGUGAGUAACGCGUGGGAAUCUACCUAGCUCUUCGGAAUAGCUCCGGGAAACUGGAAUUAAUACCGAGUACGCCCUACGGGGGAAAGAUUUAUCGGAGUUAGAUGAGCCCGCGUUGGAUUAGCUAGUUGGUGGGUAAUGGCCUACCAAGGCGACGAUCCAUAGCUGGUCUGAGAGGAUGAUCAGCCACACUGGGACUGAGACACGGCCAGACUCCACGGGAGCAGCAGUGGGAAUA